rnacentral:rRNA from 1 species
CCUACGGGGGGCAGCAGUGAGGAAUAUUGGUCAAUGGACGAGAGUCUGAACCAGCCAAGUAGCGUGAAGGAUGACUGCCCUAUGGGUUGUAAACUUCUUUUAUAUGGGAAUAAAAUGUUCCACGUGUGGGAUUUUGUAUGUACCAUAUGAAUAAGGAUCGGCUAACUCCGUGCCAGCAGCCGCGGUAAUACGGAGGAUCCGAGCGUUAUCCGGAUUUAUUGGGUUUAAAGGGGGCGGAGGUGGAUUGUUAAGUCAGUUGUGAAAGUUUGCGGCUCAACCGUAAAAGUGCAGUUGAAACUGGCAGUCUUGAGUACAGGAGAGGUGGGCGGAAUUCGUGGUGUAGCGGUGAAAUGCUUAGAUAUCACGAAGAACUCCGAUUGCGAAGGCAGUUCACUGGACUGCAACUGACACUGAGGCUCGAAAGUGUGGGUAUCAAACAGGAUUAGAUACCCUUGUAGUC